rnacentral:rRNA from 1 species
UGAGGAAUAUUGGGCAAUGGGCGGAAGCCUGACCCAGCCAUGCCGCGUGCAGGAAGACGGUCCUAUGGAUUGUAAACUGCUUUUAUAUGGGAAGAAACACUCCCUCGUGAGGGAGCUUGACGGUACCGUAAGAAUAAGGAUCGGCUAACUCCGUGCCAGCAGCCGCGGUAAUACGGAGGAUCCAAGCGUUAUCCGGAAUCAUUGGGUUUAAAGGGUCCGUAGGCGGCCUUAUAAGUCAGUGGUGAAAUCCCAUCGCUCAACGAUGGAACUGCCAUUGAUACUGUAGGGCUUGAAUUAUUGUGAAGUAACUAGAAUAUGUAGUGUAGCGGUGAAAUGCUUAGAUAUUACAUGGAAUACCAAUUGCGAAGGCAGGUUACUAACAAUAUAUUGACGCUGAUGGAC